AGUGAACGCUGGCGGUAGGCCUAACACAUGCAAGUCGAACGGCAGCACAGUAAGAGCUUGCUCUUACGGGUGGCGAGUGGCGGACGGGUGAGGAAUACAUCGGAAUCUACUUUUUCGUGGGGGAUAACGUAGGGAAACUUACGCUAAUACCGCAUACGACCUACGGGUGAAAGCAGGGGAUCUUCGGACCUUGCGCGAUUGAAUGAGCCGAUGUCGGAUUAGCUGGUUGGCGGGGUAAAGGCCCACCAAGGCGACGAUCCGUAGCUGGUCUGAGAGGAUGAUCAGCCACACUGGAACUGAGACACGGUCCAGACUCCUACGGGAGGCAGCAGUGGGGAAUAUUGGACAAUGGGCGCAAGCCUGAUCCAGCCAUACCGCGUGAGUGAAGAAGGCCUUCGGGUUGUAAAGCCCUUUUGUUGGGAAAGAAAAGCAGCAGGUUAAUACCCCGCUGUUCUGACGGUACCCAAAGAAUAAGCACCGGCUAACUUCGUG
rnacentral:rRNA from 1 species